AUGCAUGCAUCAAUGCAAGCCCAUUCUACUGCUUCUACGACCUCUAACCCCCCACCACCGAUGAAUCCGCAGCCACCAGCACCGGAGCCCUUGCCCCCUUCACCCGUGAGAGCUCCUCCUCUGCCUGCGGCUAAGGAGCAAAAGGCUGGAAGAGUAGGGGCGCCCAAGCAGCCGAAGCCACGGCUAAGGAUCUAAUAAGAGAGAUAUGAGUAUGGAAGAGAAGCAAAAACUUGGAAUUGGGUUGCAGAGUUUGCCUCAGGAGAAAAUGCCUCAAUUGGUUCAGAUCAUCAGGAAGAGGAAUGAGCAUUUGGCUCAGGAUGGCGAUGAAAUUGAGCUUGAUAUUGAGGCCCUUGAUACGGAGACGCUGUGGGAACUGGAUCGAUUUGUGACCAAUUGGAAGAAGACGGUGAGCAAGACUAAGCGGCAAGCGUUGAUGAUGAACAACAAUCCAGCCGCUGGAGUUUCUAUUCCCACCAGUCCUGCUACCGAUGCUGAUGUGGUAUGGUUUAUUUGCUCGAUCAUCCUUUUAUGUGGUAUUUUUUUUUACCAGUUUUGACAAUCUUGGUUUUGUUGGUAUUCACUUAUGCUGAUGCUAAUGUUGUGUAGGGCGCAAUGAGUGACAAAAAUGAUGAUUCGGGCAAGAAGAUUAAAGAAAAUGAGGAAGAAGAUGUAGAUAUUGAUGAUGAUAUGCCAGCAGCGAGCUUCCCUCCUGUUGAAAUUGAGAUUGAGAAAGAUGAAGGGGUAGGUGGUGGUGUUGUCGUGGGCCGGGAUCAUGAUCAGGAGGAUAAUGGUCGAGGCAAUGCCAGCAGUAGCUCGAGCAGUUCUGGCAGCUCAAGUAGCGAUUCGUCAUCCUCGAGUGGUAUUGAUACUGAUUCUUCUUGCGUUUCUACAUUGUGUUGAGGGAGUAGUAAGGAAAAUGAGGGGAUUUCCACAGAAACGCUCAUUCGUUUGAGCUUGCUUUUUACAGAUUCUGAUUCAGGGAGUUCAUCUGGUAGUGAGUCGGACGCAGAUGAUGCACAGUCUUGACAACUGUUUGAGCAAAUCAGCAAAUGAAUUGAGAGCUCAGGUGGGCAUUUGGCUGCUGUGAUAAACGAGCAUAUUUGUUCAUAAGGUAUUGUAUCAGUUUCUCGUCAUUUUAGUAUUCUACUCUACUUGGGCUGUUGGCUGAAUAUUUGAAUUGAAUUUGCAGAAUGGCAAAUGAGGUGCUUUUGGGAAUUGUUUGUUGUUGUAGUUGCCGGAUCAAAGAUUAAUCAUCGCUUGGAUGCAGUAGCCAGCUUAAGCUUUAGGUGAAGAAUAGAAAUUGUUAAAAGCGUGUAGAUAGUUUGGUUAGGUUAAUUUUGUACAGCAGCUUUAGUGGGAAUUUCUCCCCUGUUAAAGAAAGCUAUUAUUUCGCUUGUGUUGUGCCUUGCCUUGCCAUAUUUCGAUUUGGUCGACUAUAAUUCCGUUAAAUCUGUUUCGGAGCGGGAUAGUCUUUUCUUCAAAUUGGUCGGCCUCACUCAAAAUUUAUGUUCUGUAAUCAUGUGAUUUGGUUGUCUAGGUGGUGGGGGAUAUUGUUUAAUCUAAAAUGACGCUUUUUUUGGGGGGCUACAAUGACACUUUCAUUGCAACACUCAUUUGUAAAAUGACAUGCCCUUUUAGCUAGUUUCUAUGGAUAGGGUGAGCUAAGAUGUAUAUUCAAUAUUCAUUAUAAUUGCGAAUCAGAAUAUGAGAAUAUAUCAUUAUAAUUGUGACGCAGAAUAAAUCAAACAAGCAUCGACAUAUCUGAAUACAAAUAAAGUGAUGGCAGUAACACAACAUAUGAAUAAAAAACGGGAUAACAUAUGUGGUGAAACGGGAGAGGACAAGCUGAGAAUGUGCAGUUUCUUCUAUUCGUGCAAGAUAAGUAUAUAUCCAUUCCAAACAUUCCCUCAUCAACCCCAACCACUGCCUCAGAUUCAUCUGUCAACACUUUACACUGAAUUCAGCCUCAUCAGAUUCUUCAAGACCAAGAAGAGCAUCUUCACUAGCUGUAUUGUGUCCAGUGUCCACAAGUACAACCAUCAGUUCAGGCGCACCAUCCCCAUCAGGUUAAUCUGCUCCUGAGGAUUCGAGAUCCGAAGAGACAAGCUUUUUAAUGACACAUGAUCAAAGAAUUUUCCAGGGCCAAGUAUGAUUUGAAGCAGUAGUUAGUUGGAUAAGUAAAUAUCUCAGAGCAUGUAAUUUACUUGCGUCCGUGGUAGCACAAUUAAGUUCCUAUAACAACAAAAAUUGUACUCCUAAUAAACAGUUCUCUGAAGAACCUUGAGCAUGAUCUUAGCAAGCAAAGCCAAGAUUAAGUCAUUAAAACUAAUUUUAGUGGAGGUCAAUAAAGCUUCCAAAGUUCAAGUCAUUGGUCGAAAUGAGCAAUUUUGCAAAUAAUUCUACUACAAAUAUAAGAAAUCUGGAGAUAAGAUUGAUCAAAUUAUAACCAUCUUAUAAAAAGCAGAGAAGUUAGUUUCUAAUACUCCAAAAAGUCACUUUCCCAUCUUCACACAUUAUGUAAAUGUAUUUUAUGUACUUGGAAUAUUUAAAUUACAUAAAAGAUUUCACACUAGACCUAUUUACUCAUAGAAAAUAAAAGGAUUGUUAAUUGCAAAGAUUAUUAAAUAGGGGUAGAUUAAAGAGAGAAUAUAUAUUGCACAUUUAAUAAGUAAACUAUGAUUUUGGAACAGUUAAAAGACGAACAAGGGACUACAUGGGAUGUAGGGCGUAACAUAGAUUGAAAGGGAGUACCUCUUUUGAUAGUUGACUUUCCAUGGCCUGCGGUUUCUUGAAUGCUUUCUCAUCAUUGCUAUUCAAAGCCCUUGUGACACAGAUACUGAAAGAAUGUUGUAUAAUAUACCCAAAAACCGCAUAAAGUAGGAUCAAGAUCCUUUGCCUCUACACCACUUGCCACAGUUUUAAGCCCCUCCUCCUUUUUGUGCAUUUGCUAGCAACAACUGAAGCUGCUCAAUACACAUAUGGGCCAAAACACUAGGAAUUGCAGAUUUUGGCCAUCUAAACUUUUCUUGUAGUUCAAAAGAUGUUACUUCAGUUCCGAGUGAUGAUGAGAAUAGUCCUUGGACUGCCAGAAAACUUUCAGAACUUCUUUCUACACACGGAAUUUGGCAGCAUCUUGGUCAAGCUUUAAAUGCUUUUGAACAGCAGGAAGGGAUUCCACGACCCAACUUUAAGGAAUUCAGUAGUCCCCAGUGUCCCAGAAGAUCUUUAUCCUCAAUAGAUCCGAUCUGAGAAUUGUCUCAGUAGUUUGAUUCUGAUCUGAAGACUUCUCACAAGCAACAACACAUCAAAUCCCAACUUUUGCUAUCAUGAGAUGAGGUUAAAAGGGACCCUUCAAUUAUUAUUUCACAGAAGCAGAGCAGAUUUUUUUUUUUCAUAUCUUCGUCAGCAGAGUUACUUUUAUGACUUAUUUUGUGCUUCUUGCUCGAAAUUAGACCUGAUGCUGAAUCGCUAUGUAUGACAGAAGGUAGACUCCUGCAAUAUCCAAGACAUGUAGAUCAGCAAAGACUUGAAAUACUACUUAAUCAGUGAUAAAAUCUUUAAGAAAACAUAUAUGAGUAGUACCUUCAGGCAACUGGCAAUAGUAGAUAAAUAAUCAGCAGCAAAAAGGGCACUUUUGCUGUAGGGGGAAGGCAAUAGUUUAUUGAAAUUAUGGUCAAUAGAAAGUUUUUCACGUAUUUAAGAGCUAAAAGUAAGGCGUCAGGAUUUCAAGCUUCAGUUGCUCCUUCAAACCACUCUUGUAGACAUGGUGCUUCAAGGAGAUGCUUCAGCUGUGCGUCCGCAGGCAACUAAACCAAGACACAAAUACAGGGCAAUAUUUAGUCAAGGGUAGGAAACCCAUAAGUGAACAAUCCUGAGAAGAUAUGACACUGAUGAAGGCUUAUAAGUUAUAACUAAUACAUAAAGUGGUUUCAUGUAAAUUGAUGAAGAUAUGCAAGUUAUGUCCCAGCAUAAUCUAAUAAAGUAAUUAGAGAAGAAUAAAUCUUAAGGAUUACUACUGUGAGCAUAAUCUUGUUUAUAACUUAAAAAGAAUGAAAAAAAGGACCUAAAAGUCUAACUUAGUCCUCAUGACCACCAGAAUGUAUAUCAACUGUAUGCUCAAAAUAUACAAAAUAAUAAUCUUGUUCAUAACUUAAAAAGAAUGAAAAAAAGUACCUAAAAGUCUUUAACUUAGUCCUCAUGACCACCAGAAUGUAUAUCAAGUUAACUGUAUGCUCAAAAUAUACAAAAUAAUAAUGUGCAGGUAAUACGAAGGAUUACCUUUCCCAAUAUCUCCAAUAAAACAGCAACAGCAGGCUCUUGUAAGUACCAUUUUUUAGCUGCAAUAUCAAUAAGAGACAUUUGGUAAAUUCUUUGACGAGUGCACUAUUAUUAUCUGAUAUCCAUUCUUCAGUAAGCUUUCCCGAUCUUGCAAGAGCUCCAUAUGCAAAUAAACGGACCAGUAUGCGGUCUUUAACCUCCCAUGGAUAAAAAGGUUCCACAUACAUAAAAUAUAAAUCUCAGUUACUGACUUCACCUCCAGCAAAGUUGUAAUUAGCUUUAACAAGGACACUAAUUUAAUGCUUCGAACCAUGCUAACUAACAUUGUAAGACCUAGUGCAAACCCUUGUCUUGAACACUGCAACAUAAGAGUAUAGAAAAAGCUAAGAACAUCUAAGCAAUGUAUCCAAUCAAAUUUGAACCUUAAAGAACAGACGUAGUACGAUAUGUCGAUAACGAAGCAAUGCACACAAGAUGUCAAUACCAUAUAGGAUGCUUAUAAGAUAUCAUAUCUGAAGAGGUGAAGCCUAAAUAUACGAACACAAAAUCUUCAUUGGGCCAUAUGAAACAUGUCUUUUCGUUCAUAACUAAGUUAAAGUACCAAUAAAGUAACUCUCCAAGAACUUUCUUGGCAACUUUCUCUGCAUAUACGGAUAUGGUCUGAUUGGGGUUUCUAGUGCUAGUUGAAUAUGAAACAUUAAUAAGCAAAAAAACAAUUAGAAAUUUUCAAAUCUCCAAGUCCCAAACCUGCUACCAAUAAUUAUAGUUAAGUCUGCAUCAAAUCAAAAGGUUUUAGAGUCUUAGACAAUUGAUAUAACACCUUUUACGGCCAACUGAAAGCACAAAACAAAAGAAUAAAUGAUGGCUUAUCUGACAUAAGUAUGUUCACGAUAAUGCUCUUACUAUUACUAGGUAAUCUUAACCCAUCAACGCUCACAUUUUCAAUAUUCAUAACCGCACUAAUGAGUAUUUGGUUAAAUACGUCACACAUCCUAGUCUUUGAUAAAUUGUUAAAUGGCAGAAAAUCAAUCGAGGAGAAAACCAAAAAACAAUAUAUGGGAUGGAAAAAUGAUUCAACUUUUAACAUGAAGUUUUGUGCACUAUUUAAUAUGCCAAAACCAGAAACAACAAACAUCAGAUACCAAAGGAGGAAGCCACAUACAAUGUAACAAUAUUCAACCAUCCAGAAAAUUCAUUGACAAUUAUAGAGAAGAUCCGUGUGCAAUAGAAAUAAGAAGCACACCUCUCUCGAUGAGGAGACACCACGAAUAAGCCUCCGCACAGCAUACCUCACAGAGGGAGCACAGUUAUUCAACCCAUCAUCCUUCUCGGCUUCGAGGUUUGACUUAUCCUCUACCUCAUCCUUAUUCUCCAACUUAUCACACGCAUUCUGAACUUCCCUCAGCUCCACAACCAAGGUCUUAGCAGCCGCUUUCCUCACACUCGCAUCCGCAGCUCCCAGUUCCUUAAACACUCCAAUGUGGCAACACUCCGCACCACCACUACUCGUUCCACCACAUAAAGAUCAAAGGCAAAAGGAAAGCAGCAAGCGAAAGAGCGGGAUCGAAACAUGAAGAAAACGUGUUUUGCAGCUGUAGAAAAAAACGUGAGACACAAUCAGAGUAUGACGAGAUUAGAUACACAAUUAGUUGAGCUGGAGUGAGUUAGGCAGCUAAAACUGAGUCAGAAUUGAACAAUUGCGGUUUAGCUCAGAUCUGAGAAACGGUUCUCGAUUUAUCCAAUCCAAUCUUCAUACCUUGUAUCCUUUCGAAACUUGUGCAGGUUUGUCGUGAGUAAGCUAAUGCCGCCGUGGGAGAAUGGUUUUGGGUUGCCGGAGAAGUGGAGUCGCGGAUGAGAUGGUGAAAAUUGGUAUCCACUAUCCAGAGCACAUCGAUCCAACCAAGCCGCAUAUGCAACUGAGAAUUUAGAAGCGCAAUUGAGAGUCAAUUGACUCAGGGCCGCUCUGGACCCAUAUAUACAGGUUACCUUCCUAUUUAUAUUUAUUGAUUGGAAUUUAUGUAAUAAUUAAAACCAAAUUACAUUAUUCUUUUUUUAGACAAAUAUAAUACCUUAAAACCAAAUUACAUUAUUCUUUUUAUUUUAUAGUAAUAAAUUAUUUAUUUUUUAACAUUUAUAUGUAAACUUUUUGGCCUAUUAAAUUGAGAUUAAAGAAAGUUGUAAUUAUAUACUAGUACUAGAAUAAAAUGAAGCACGACGCAGAAGACAAGAGUUGUGGGAAGAGGCAGUUGUAUUAAUUGCAAGGGCAGUAUGGUAAAUUGAAAGAAAGUCGGCUUUGAUCUGGUUGUGGUGAGAUCCUCCUGAUACGUCACGUGCCAAAGCGAGUUUUCUUCACAUUCACGUCGUUAAUUUCCACGUCACCCGUUUGAGGGGGAGCCCACACAAACCCUAAAAAUUGCCACAUACUACCAAUUUCACCUCAUACCCAAACGCCUUGACAUCCUUCCAAUUCUACUCCAUCAAACGACCAGGAACCCGCCACGUGUCCCAACAGCCCCAUCGCGGCCGUCCGUGGCAGAUGUCACGGUCAACUCCCAGCCAGCAAACAAAUUCACUCUUGCCGUUGGAUUUCCGUCACCUAGCUAAUACACGGCUAUGAUGCUGCCCGAAAUAUAAGCGGGCAGAUCUCAUUGCCUUUAAGAGGCACGCCCUCUCCUUCUAAUUUCUUCGCUCAAACCCUAAAUAUCUCUACACCGUCGUAAAAUUGGUGUCUAGUUUAAUUCCUUGUUUCUUUUCCCCCAAAAUUUUAGCCAAAUUUUUAAUCUAAUAUAGCCCCGUGCUGCCGCAGAUCGUUCGGCGAAGGGGUUUUCGCGGCGGAGAGGAGAUUCUGGCUGUUCGAUACAUGAUUUUUGGGGGAAAGUGCUGCCGGAGGCUCGACGGAGCUGAGCGCUGCCGACGGUGUGAUUCAUGGCGUCCGCCGUUCUAGCGAGUCAGAAUGAGUCGAGCUGGGCCCACAUGGGAAAGACGCAGUACGUGAAUCCCCACCUCAAUUCAAACCCUCAUCCUAACCCUAAGAAGAAGCAGAAGCAAUUCCACCCAUCUGUGGCCAACGGUGUCGCCGGUCGUUACCGCAGCAGCAACAACAACUUCGAUUCACCGGCCGUCACGCAGACGGCGUCCGAUGAUGCCUAUUCUUUCAACCAGACGCCCGCCCCGCGUAACGUGGGGAACUAUGGCGGUCUUCUGACCUUCAACGUUGCUAUGUACACGAAAUCCGAGCUCCUGGAUCUCCGGAAACGCCUCUUUGCCGAACUCGAUCAGAUCCGUGAUUUGCGAGACCGGAUUGAGUCUGGUCGAUUCAACAUUGGCGAAACUCCUAGAUCUCAACCGAAAUCAAAGAAGUUUAGUGGCAGUAAACGGCCUGGCCCUGCGAUUGGAUCCGCCCCCAAGAAAUUGAACGAUGGAUAUGACAAUGGCAGUUUGGAGGCGGUUAAUUUUGGGGAUUUGUUGAAAGAAUGCGAGAAGAUUGUUGGUAAAUUGAUCAAACACAAAAAAUUUGGGUAUGUUUUCAGAGCACCUGUGGAUGCUGUUGCGUUCGGCCUUCUCGAUUAUCAUCAGAUUGUGAAGCAUCCCAUGGAUCUGGGUACUGUCAAAGCGAAUCUGGCGAAAAAUGUGUAUCGGACGCCUGUGGAUUUUGCUGCCGACGUGAGGUUGACCUUUAACAAUGCGUUGCUGUACAACCCUAAGACCGAUCCUGUUAACUCGAUGGCUGAGCAAAUGUUGGCACUGUUCGAGGAAAUGUUCAAGCCGGUGCAGGAGAAGUACAAUAUUGAGCUCGACAGGCGGCGUGAGAAGGAUCCCCGCGAGUUCAAAAUCAACAAUGACUUGCCGUUCCGGGAGGUUGAGGAAUUGCAGGGGAGCUCUUGGAACAAUGGUUGUCAGGUUCUGGCUGCAAAGAAGUCGAAGCCGAAAGCUAGCCAUGUUCCUGUCUCCCACAUUAUGAAGAAGUCUGAUAGAAUGCAUGCAUCAAUGCAAGCCCAUUCUACUGCUUCUACGACCUCUAACCCCCCACCACCGAUGAAUCCGCAGCCACCAGCACCGGAGCCCUUGCCCCCUUCACCCGUGAGAGCUCCUCCUCUGCCUGCGGCUAAGGAGCAAAAGGCUGGAAGAGUAGGGGCGCCCAAGCAGCCGAAGCCACGGGCUAAGGAUCUUAAUAAGAGAGAUAUGAGUAUGGAAGAGAAGCAAAAACUUGGAAUUGGGUUGCAGAGUUUGCCUCAGGAG
rnacentral:lncRNA from 1 species